rnacentral:rRNA from 1 species
GACGAACGCUGGCGGCGUGCUUAACACAUGCAAGUCGAACGGAAAGGCCCUGCUUUUGUGGGGUGCUCGAGUGGCGAACGGGUGAGUAACACGUGAGUAACCUGCCCUUGACUUUGGGAUAACUUCAGGAAACUGGGGCUAAUACCGGCUAGGAGCUCCUGCUGCAUGGUGGGGGUUGGAAAGUUUCGGCGGUUGGGGAUGGACUCGCGGCUUAUCAGCUUGUUGGUGGGGUAGUGGCUUACCAAGGCUUUGACGGGUAGCCGGCCUGAGAGGGUGGACGGCCACAUUGGGACUAAGAUACGGCCCAGACUCCUACGGGAGGCAGCAGUGGGGAAUAUUGCACAAUGGGCGGAAGCCUGAUGCAGCAACGCCGCGUGCGGGAUGACGGCCUUCGGGUUGUAAACCGCUUUCGCCUGUGACGAAGCGUGAGUGACGGUAAUGGGUAAAGAAGCACCGGCUAACUACGUG